rnacentral:rRNA from 1 species
CCAGCGGCGAUGCUACGCCGUAUGGGGGAUGGUUCGGCUAGAGCGCUGAAGAGGGUCGUGUCAAGCAGCGAGAUGCGUCGGAUAGGUGCAAGAAGCCUAUGAUCCGACGAUUACCUAAUGGGACUUCCUAUUCUUCGGAAUGAUCAGUAAUGAUCGGGAACGCGGGGGAUUGAAGCAUCUUAGUACCCGCAGGAAAAGAAAUCAAUCGAGAUACCGUUAUUAAAGG